rnacentral:rRNA from 1 species
UAGGGAAUCUUCCACAAUGGACGCAAGUCUGAUGGAGCAACGCCGCGUGAGUGAAGAAGGCUUUCGGGUCGUAAAACUCUGUUAUUGAGGAAGAACGUGUGUGACAGUAACUGGUCAUGCAGUGACGGUAUUCAAUCAGAAAGUCACGGCUAACUACGUGCCAGCAGCCGCGGUAAUACGUAGGUGGCAAGCGUUGUCCGGAUUUAUUGGGCGUAAAGCGAGUGCAGGCGGUCUUUUAAGUCUGAUGUGAAAGCCUUCGGCUUAACCGAAGAAGGGCAUCGGAAACUGGGAGACUUGAGUGCAGAAGAGGAGAGUGGAACUCCAUGUGUAGCGGUGAAAUGCGUAGAUAUAUGGAAGAACACCAGUGGCGAAGGCGGCUCUCUGGUCUGUAACUGACGCUGAGGCUCGAAAAGCGUGGGUAGCAAACAGGAUUAGAUACCCUGG